rnacentral:rRNA from 1 species
AGUGAACGCUGGCGGUAGGCCUAACACAUGCAAGUCGAACGGCAGCACUGUAAGAGCUUGCUCUUACGGGUGGCGAGUGGCGGACGGGUGAGGAAUACAUCGGAAUCUACUUUUUCGUGGGGGAUAACGUAGGGAAACUUACGCUAAUACCGCAUACGACCUACGGGUGAAAGCAGGGGAUCUUCGGACCUUGCGCGAUUGAAGGAGCCGAUGUCGGAUUAGCUAGUUGGCGGGGUAAAGGCCCACCAAGGCGACGAUCCGUAGCUGGUCUGAGAGGAUGAUCAGCCACACUGGAACUGAGACACGGUCCAGACUCCUACGGGAGGCAGCAGUGGGGAAUAUUGGACAAUGGGCGCAAGCCUGAUCCAGCCAUACCGCGUGGGUGAAGAAGGCCUUCGGGUUGUAAAGCCCUUUUGUUGGGAAAGAAAAGCAGCAGGUUAAUACCCCGCUGUUCUGACGGUACCCAAAGAAUAAGCACCGGCUAACUUCGUG